rnacentral:lncRNA from 1 species
GCUGCUCUUCAGCAUAGCAAAUGCACCCGCCUGUUCUGCCUGCUGCUUAGCAGUCAUAGCCUGCCUAGGGUCACUUUCAGAGUCAAGGUGUGUUUGGGGAGGAUGGCUGCACACUCCAAGCUGCAAGAACUAUUAUGACUUCAGAGGCCAGGAGACAUCAUGCGCAGCCCGCAAGGGAUGUGUCUGCUGCUCUAAGGUCCAGAACAUUGUCUCUGUGACCCAUGACUACAUCCUACUGUGCCGUUCCACAGGUAGCUGUGACAACAGUCCUGGCAAAAGUGCAAGUCUACUGGGAAUUUCUAGGAAUGUUCGACUUUCCUAAUCAGAAACCACCUUCCCUUCUCACCUCAUCUUCCUACCUGGAAUGCAGUUGCUACUGUGUUUGGGUUUUUCUGUUACCUGCAGCCAAACACAAUCCUGAUAUGACUGGUUUUACAGAAAUUCAGGUAAGGAAGCUGUGAGAAUGUGAUCACCCACUCUGGACAGAGGUGGUGCGAUGAAGUCUUCACAGCUAGAAGUCAGGAAACUUCCCGUCUUGUCUGUAUAACUUCAUGC